AGAGUUUGAUCCUGGCUCAGAAUCAACGCUGGCGGCGCGCUUAACACAUGCAAGUCGAGCGAGAAAAGGGCAACCUGAGUACAGCGGCGUACGGGUGAGUAACACGUGGAUCAUCUACCUUUUAGUGGGGAAUAACUCUGGGAAACCGGAGCUAAUACCGCAUAAUCCUGUGAAGGGAAAGCAGCAAUGCGCUGAAAGAGGAGUCCGCGGCCGAUUAGCUAGUUGGUGAGGUAACGGCCCACCAAGGCGACGAUCGGUAGCCGGCCUGAGAGGGCACACGGCCACACUGGCACUGAAACACGGGCCAGACUCCUACGGGAGGCAGCAGUGGGGAAUCUUGCACAAUGGGGGCAACCCUGAUGCAGCGACGCCGCGUGAGCGAUGAAGCCCCUCGGGGUGUAAAGCUCUUUCGGCAGGAACGAUAAUGACGGUACCUGAAGAAGAAGCUGCGGCUAACUACGUGCCAGCAGCCGCGGUAAUACGUAGGCAGCAAGCGUUGUUCGGAAUUACUGGGCGUAAAGAGUGUGUAGGCGGUGCUCUAAGUUCGGUGUGAAAUCUCCCGGCUUAACUGGGAGGGUGCGCCGGAAACUGGAAUGCUCGAGCGUGGGAGAGGAAAGCGGAAUUCCUGGUGUAGCGGUGAAAUGCGUAGAUAUCAGGAGGAACACCUGCGGUGUAGACGGCUUUCUGGACCAUUGCUGACGCUGAGACACGAAAGCGUGGGUAGCAAACAGAUUAGAUACCCCUGUAGUCC
rnacentral:rRNA from 1 species